UACGUAGGGUCCGAGCGUUGUCCGGAAUUAUUGGGCGUAAAGGGCUCGUAGGCGGUCCGUCACGUCGGGAGUGAAAACUCAGGGCUCAACCCUGAGCGUGCUUCCGAUACGGGCGGACUAGAGGUAUGCAGGGGAGAACGGAAUUCCUGGUGUAGCGGUGGAAUGCGCAGAUAUCAGGAGGAACACCGGUGGCGAAGGCGGUCUCUGGGCAUUACCUGACGCUGAGGAGCGAAAGUGUGGGGAGCGAACAGG
rnacentral:rRNA from 1 species